GUUAGCAUAGUUUAACAAAAACAUUAGGCCGUGACCCUAAAAACAGAAGAUCAUUCCUUCUUGCAAACC
rnacentral:tRNA from 1 species